rnacentral:pre_miRNA from 14 species
UACUAAAAUAAUAGGUACUGAAAGACCCCCGAAGGGAGUCCCCCCACUCAAGUCUCGGGAAAGACGCGCACCCAGUAGGACACAGACACCG